AACGCGCUGCCAUUGCCCGCCAUCGAUCCAAAUAAAUAAAUAAAUAAAUAUAUAUAUAUAUAUAUAUAUAUAUAUAUAUUUAUUUAUUUAUUUAUUUGGAUCGAUGGCGGGCAAUGGCAGCGCGUU
rnacentral:pre_miRNA from 1 species